UACGUAGGGAGCAAGCGUUAUCCGGAAUUAUUGGGUGUAAAGGGUGCGUAGACGGGAUAACAAGUUGGUUGUGAAACCCCUCGGCUCAACUGAGGAACUGCAACCAAAACUAUUAUUCUUGAGUGCAGGAGAGGGCGGUGGAACUCCAUGUGUAGCGGUAAAAUGCGUAGAUAUAUGGAAGAACACCAGUGGCGAAGGCGGCCGCCUGGCCUGUUGCUGACGCUGAGGCACGAAAGCGUGGGGAGCAAAUAGG
rnacentral:rRNA from 1 species